rnacentral:lncRNA from 1 species
AUUUGUAGACGUACAUACUAAGGAUGGUUUCUAUGAUAGCCAUAUGCGCUACAUUAAACUUCAAUAUGGUGAGGGGCUGUAAACAAGCCUAUCUGAGCUGAGAUAUGUUAUGCUCGGGCUUGGAGUUAAACUAGCAACCUUGGCUCGGCUCAUUUUAUUUUCAGGUGAUUAGCAUUAGCAUUUGCUAACCAGCUGCGCUACCUCUUGGAUAAUAUUGGAUUCUACUCUAGGAUUACAAGCCCUUGGACUCCAAGUUUGCCGGGCCACGAGAUAAGAGCUGAUUGUUUACAAGCAGCUGAUUGCACUUUAUGCCAGUAAACCCAAAAAAGGAUUAAAGGGUGCACUUAGUGUUAAGAAGGACAAACUUAUCACCUAAGUUUGGCAGAAUAAGCAAUCGAAAAGGAUGCAGAAAAUCAAAGACAUGAUGUGGUGAGACUCAUUAUGAUUGUUCCAGUUGAAGCUUAUUCGUGAUGAAAUGAAAAAGUGGCAAAGAAAUCUAUAAGAAGCUUGAAGACGAGUAUGGAGGGACGGUCGUUUUACGCUCCAAAAGUUUCUCUUUCUUUUCCAAUGUAACUUAAGAGAAUGCAUUGCUACGUCAAACUUUUUAUUAUUUGUAUUUGUAUCUAUAG